rnacentral:tRNA from 2 species
GCCGACUUAGCUCAGUAGGUAGAGCAACAUACUCGUAACAUGUAGGUCACAGGUUCGAUUCCUGCAGUCGGCACCA